GAGAGAGAGACGCCGCCGCCGGUAACCCUAGCCUCCUCUUCCAUUUUCCUAAUCUCAGUUACCUAUUCAUAUUCUCAAAAUUUGGACCCUAAAGUGAAGGCAGAGGAGUUUUACAAUUCAAGAUUGGUUUGAUGUCUGUCAUUAAGGUGCGCCUACGAGUUUUGUUGAGGAUCCUACAUCAGAGGAGGCUAGGUAACUCAUAUUUCAAGUAGGCCAUUUAUACAGUUUCGAGAGAAAGUGGGCCCAGGGUAUGAAGAGUUCUCUAUAAACUUGGAGCUUACUAGAGAUUCGUCUCUCACCUCGUCUGGGGAUAUGAUUUCAAAUACGCAGUUAGCUGAUGAGCCCUCACGAGACAAGGACCCUACCCGUGGCUAGGGGUGCUAGCAUGAGGAUAUGGAGUUUUGGGUAGCGGAGGCUACUAUUUAUUAUAGAUGUUAUUUUUAGAGAGCAUGUACUGUUGUAUUUGUGCUCUAUUUAUUUGGGGAUCAUGAUGUCUGAUCCAGAGUUAUGUAUAUGGCCUGUAUAUGUGAUGUUUAAUGCAUGUACAUUUUAGUAUUAAGGCAUUAUUAUGAGAUGAGAUAUAUUCUGAUGUGUGAUUAUUGUAUGCUGUUAGAUUUAGAGGCACAGAACCUUGUAUGCAUGCGCCCAUGGAUGAGU